rnacentral:rRNA from 1 species
GACAGAGGUGCCGAGCGUUAGGCGGAAUCACUGGGCUUAAAGCGUGUGUAGGCGGCCCGUUAAGUGCCUCGUGAAAUCCCCCGGCUCAACCGGGGAACUGCGGGGCAUACUGGCGGGCUUGGGUCGCUCAGGGGCAGACGGAACAGGCGGUGGAGCGGUGAAAUGCGUAGAUAUCGGGAGGAACACCUGUGGCGAAAGCGGCGCACUGGACCAUAACUGACGCUGAGGCGCGAAAGCUAGGGGAGCAAACAGG